rnacentral:lncRNA from 1 species
UGGGGCAGGCGUGAGCCCGUCUCUCUCCUGCCCUGGCCUAGGUGGUGGCAGCGGUGGCUCCACAUGCGGGCGGUGGCCGUGGAACCGCAGCCCUGCAGCUGCUGCAGGCGCUGCCCAGCAUGAUCCACAGAGCCGUGGGGGCGAGCUGGGCCGCRGAGAUCCCCCUGCUGCUGCAGCACCUGGCAGGAACAACCGCCAGCUCCCUGGACGUGGCUGAGUGGGAGAGCCUUCUGCUGAAGGUACGACGUCCCUGAGGGGGUCCCAGCUGGAUGGGGCAAACGGGGGUCAGGAAAAGUGGUGGGAGGAA